AGCGAACGCUGGCGGCAGGCCUAACACAUGCAAGUCGAACGAACCUUUCGGGGUUAGUGGCGGACGGGUGAGUAACACGUGGGAACGUUCCUUUAGGUUCGGAAUAACUCAGGGAAACUUGUGCUAAUACCGAAUGUGCCCUUCGGGGGAAAGAUUAAUCGCCGUUAGAGCGGCCCGCGUCUGAUUAGCUAGUUGGUUGAGGUAAUGGCUCACCAAGGCGACGAUCAGUAGCUGGUCUGAGAGGAUGAUCAGCCACAUUGGGACUGAGACACGGCCCAAACUCCUACGGGAGGCAGCAGUGGGGAAUCUUGCGCAAUGGGCGAAAGCCUGACGCAGCCAUGCCGCGUGAAUGAUGAAGGUCUUAGGAUUGUAAAAUUCUUUCACCGGGGACGAUAAUGACGGUACCCGGAGAAGAAGCCCCGGCUAACUUCGUG
rnacentral:rRNA from 1 species